rnacentral:rRNA from 1 species
AGGCUUUGAUCCUGGCUCAGGAUGAACGCUAGCGGCAGGCUUAAUACAUGCAAGUCGAACGGUAACAGGCGGUAGCAAUACUGUGCUGACGAGUGGCGCACGGGUGUGUAACACGUAUGCAACUUACCCUUUACUGGGGGAUAACCUUGAGAAAUUAGGGCUAAUACCCCAUGGUAUCUAUAGAUGGCAUCGUUUAUAGAUUAAAGAUUUAUUGGUAGAGGAUAGGCAUGCGUCCCAUUAGUUAGUUGGUGAGGUAACGGCUCACCAAGACCGUGAUGGGUAGGGGUCCUGAGAGGGUUAUCCCCCACACUGGUACUGAGACACGGACCAGACUCCUACGGGAGGCAGCAGUAAGGAAUAUUGGGCAAUGGCCGCGAGGCUGACCCAGCCAUGCCGCGUGCAGGAAGACUGCCUUAUGGGUUGUAAACUGCUUUUCUGUGGGAAUAACCUGCUCCACGAGUGGGGCACUGCAAGUACCAUUAGUGAAUAAGCAUCGGCUACAUC